CGAUGUGUUGUCAGUUUUUAUUCUGGUACAAUAUAAGAACCAUGUUUGAUGGUUAAAAAUAUGAAGUACGCUCAUGUAACUUAUUGUGUUCGCGAGUGAAAAGAUCGAAUUAGAUAACAAAAUUUUAAGUUAAUUUUUAAACAGAUAAAAGCAUAAUUUUUAAUCUCGCGAGUGAUGCUUGGUGCGAUAUCGAUAGAUGGAACUGGAAAAUGCUUCUGUAUUACAUGUGUACCUAUUUACCUACCUGUCCAGUGCCCACGACGACAGAAGAAUCCAACAUACAACUAUAGGUACCUACCUAUGAAACAUCAUCUUGAUUCGUAAAAUGUUGGCACAUACAUAUGAAUUGAUAUAAGAAGAGAAGUUACAAUCUCUCAAUCCAGGAAAAAGUGGAUCUCAUCAUGGAAUCAAAACAUCAUGCCAAGUACGGAUAGGUUGGUAUACUUAGGUCCCUCGCUGACAUAAACUUCAGGUACCUAUUCAUGCAUCAAAGAGGAAAUAAAUUUCUGGAAGUGAGGCUGCAUUGCAUUACUUUGCAGAUCUAAUACCUUCGAUCCUUUCCUUUCUAAAACGUUACGAUAAUGUUACACCUAAAAAGCAUAUACGUACAAAUGUAGUUUAUCUUUCGAGAUAGGAAAAAAAGAUAUCAAAAUUCAAACGUCGUCUAGCCGGUUAUUCACGUCGCUAUAUAUAGGUAAAUACCCGACGACAAUGCGGAAAUACAUCACACGACACAUAAGGUACCCAGCAGCAUCCUCUCAGACAACACAGAAGGACAUCGACAGGUACAAGAAGUAGUAGCCGCGACCGACAACAACAACGAACACACAAAAUAGAAUGCAGAAGAAGACUUGGAAAAAACCGCAAAUUGUUAAAAUUUACAUGAAAGAGCAGCAUCCCCGAUAAAAGGUCGUCUUUCUUUGAUCUGUUCUGUAGGUAAAGGUAUGGUCUAUAUAGCAAAAUUGUCCGCAACAUCGUUACGAUUAUGUAACAUCUUACUCAGCUAACACGGUAAUCGUAUUGUCACAUUGUAAAAGCUGGGUGACAUAAAUGGUUCGAAAAAUGCUAAAGGCCGGAAGUUGAUUUGUCAAAAUACAAUGGACGUUCGAACGUACGUGUGUGAUCGGUUUUUACGUAAAAUAAAACCAGAGAAAAGUACCGCGAACAAGAACAUUGUUAGCUUUGGGUCGCCGCCUACAUUGUUAAUACGUAUAGGCCUUUUUACAAAAACCCCAGCCUAAGGGGCGGAAGUACGCUAAAAGGCACGUGGUGCAUGUAUGUAUUUUUUUUCCAAAACAUAUGCCGCCUUAUAUUGUAAACCCCCUUUCUCAUCUCGCGCCCCCCACGCACACCUUCCCAUAUAAUUUAUCCAAAUUUUCAUUCGUUAACGAAUUUAUUAAAUUAUUAUCGUUUAAAUAUGGAUACUUAAUAGCUGACCACGCGUUUGUAGUGUGUACCCCCUUUUGUUUUCUUCCUCUUGUUGUUGGCGACUGCCGCUUACAGGUUAGGUUAUCCCCUAUCGACGACGAUAUUUUAAUUUCACUUCAUUUAUUUCUUAUUGGUUGGACUAUCAGCCGUAAUGAAUACGUUAGUAACGUUCAUAAGUACCACCUCUGUGUUUAUGUUUACACGCGAUCAUAUAAUACCAGAUUUUAUACAUUUAUUAAGGCGUAUACCGAAGUACCUACUUUUGUAUAUUUUUUUUCUUCACUAUUUUUCUUAUACUUAUAUAUUGUAAAUCGCCAACCAACUCACGAUAAUUAUCGUAAUGCAAUUUUUUUCAUGAAUUUUUUAAAACUUUUUAUAUUGCUACAUAAGACCACUCAUUUACUCACCUUUUAUUAUUCCAUUUUGUAAAAUACCUAAUCUAACUCUUUUUAAUGAUACCGAACGAAAACGAAAUUUAAAAUGGUAAUGUAAUGGAUGUAUUAUUAUCGUAGACGGUCAGCUAUAAAAUGCGAUACAUUUCAACUCGUACUUACGUAUUUAAACAUUUUUUUAUCGGUACGAGAUUUUCAUCUUUGCUAUGUAAUCGUACUGCACGCCACACGAGUACCUACCUACACACAUAGUAUAGGUAGACUAGAUGGAUUUCACCUCUUGGGGGUUAUUUUUUUCACAUCUAAGGGAAGGGUAGGUACCUGUAUGCAUCAUGAAAAUAUUAUUAUGGCGAUGUAGACAUUUUUUAUUUCUUCGAAAUCACGUAUACCAACCUCUCAAUAGUCAGCGAGUGACUGAGUAUUUCUAUACCUAAUGAGCACCUAUUUAAAAUGUAAAUUUUUCACGAAAAAAAUGUUAUUUAAUGUAGAAAAAUAUACACUCGUUGAAUU